rnacentral:lncRNA from 10 species
GUGCACACGGCUCCCAUGCGUUGUCUUCCGAGCGUCAGGCCGCCCCUACCCGUGCUUUCUGCUCUGCAGACCCUCUUCCUAGACCUCCGUCCUUUGUCCCAUCGCUGCCUUCCCCUCAAGCUCAGGGCCAAGCUGUCCGCCAACCUCGGCUCCUCCGGGCAGCCCUCGCCCGGGGUGCGCCCCGGGGCAGGACCCCCAGCCCACGCCCAGGGCCCGCCCCUGCCCUCCAGCCCUACGCCUUGACCCGCUUUCCUGCGUCUCUCAGCCUACCUGACCUUGUCUUUACCUCUGUGGGCAGCUCCCUUGUGAUCUGCUUAGUUCCCACCCCCCUUUAAGAAUUCAAUAGAGAAGCCAGACGCAAAACUACAGAUAUCGUAUGAGUCCAGUUUUGUGAAGUGCCUAGAAUAGUCAAAAUUCACAGAGACAGAAGCAGUGGUCGCCAGGAAUGGGGAAGCAAGGCGGAGUUGGGCAGCUCGUGUUCAAUGGUUUUGUCCGCCUUCCCUGCCUCCUCUUCUGGGGGAGUUAGAUCGAGUUGUAACAAGAACAUGCCACUGUCUCGCUGGCUGCAGCGUGUGGUCCCCUUACCAGAGUGAGGAUGCGAAGAGAAGGUGGCUGUCUGCAAACCAGGAAGAGAGCCCUCACCGGGAACCCGUCCAGCUGCCACCUUGAACUUGGACUUCCAAGCCUCCAGAACUGUGAGGGAUAAAUGUAU